UAGUCCACGCCGUAAACGAUGGAUACUAGCUGUUCGGACUUCGGUCUGAGUGGCUAAGCGAAAGUGAUAAGUAUCCCACCUGGGGAGUACGUUCGCAAGAAUGAAACUCAAAGGAAUUGACGGGGGCCCGCACAAGCGGUGGAGCAUGUGGUUUAAUUCGAUGAUACGCGAGGAACCUUACCAGGGCUUAAAUGUAGAGUGACAGAGUUAGAGAUAGCUUUUUCUUCGGACACUCUACAAGGUGCUGCAUGGUUGUCGUCAGCUCGUGCUGUGAAGUGUCAGGUUAAGUCCUAUAACGAGCGCAACCCCUGUUGUUAGUUGCCAGCGAGUCAAGUCGGGAACUCUAACAAGACUGCCGGUGCAAACCGCGAGGAAGGUGGGGAUGACGUCAAAUCAUCACGGCCCUUACGUCCUGGGCUACACACGUGCUACAAUGGCCGGUACAGAGAGCAGCCAGUGGGUGACCACGAGCGAAUCUAUAAAACCGGUCUCAGUUCGGAUCGGAGU
rnacentral:rRNA from 1 species